AAUAUCUCAAGACCAGAGAUCCUGUGGCUGCAGGUUCCUACAAUGAAUUUGGAUAUAACCAAAGAAGCUCAAAGAACCAUGCCCUAUAAAUGAAAAUCAAGAUGGGACAUUCAUUGAUGCUAUAGUUCCAAAAUUGGCUCUGACAGCCUUGGUACACAUCUUUUACAAAUUCAUAAGAGAUAAAUUUCUACCCAGAAAGCCUAGAAGAGCAAUGAAGAUGGAUGUGAAGACUUGUUUUGACACUGACUGUGCAAUUCACCAGCUCUGUGACCUUCAGCAAUCAAUUUAACCUCUCCAGAAAUCAAACCCAUUACUUGACAAGGAAGCAGGCAGCAUAUGACUCCCACCUGGCUGUACGAGGGGGGACCCUCUUGGACACGGACCCACGCUAAGGAGCAGGAGAUUACAGAAUGGAUGGGAGUCGGGGAGGAG
rnacentral:lncRNA from 1 species